UAACGACUUCCCCACUGUCUCCAGCAUCGACUCAGUGAAAUUGAAUUGCCCGUGAAGAUGCGGGCAACCCGCGGUUAGACGGAAAGACCCCGUGCACCUUUACUACAGCUUUGCAGUGGCAUCAGGAAUUGAAUGUGCAGGAUAGGUGGGAGACUUUGAACCGGCGGCGCCAGCUGUCGGGGAGUUACCCUUGAAAUACCACCCUUUUGGUUCUUGGUGUCUAACCGCGGCCCGUUAUCCGGGUCCGGGACCCUGCAUGGUGG
rnacentral:rRNA from 1 species